rnacentral:rRNA from 1 species
GAUGAACGCUGGCGGCGUGCCUAAUACAUGCAAGUAGAACGCUGAAGGAAGGAGCUUGCUCUUUCCGGAUGAGUUGCGAACGGGUGAGUAACGCGUAGGUAACCUGCCUGGUAGCGGGGGAUAACUAUUGGAAACGAUAGCUAAUACCGCAUAACAGUAGAUGUUGCAUGAUAUCUACUUAAAAGGUGCAAUUGCACCACUACCAGAUGGACCUGCGUUGUAUUAGCUAGUUGGUGAGGUAACGGCUCACCAAGGCGACGAUACAUAGCCGACCUGAGAGGGUGAUCGGCCACACUGGGACUGAGACACGGCCCAGACUCCUACGGGAGGCAGCAGGAGGGAAUCUUCGGCAAUGGACGGAAGUCUGACCGAGCAACGCCGCGUGAGGGAAGAAGGUUGUCGGAUCGUAAAGCUCUGUUGUAAGAGAAGAACGAGUGUGAGAGUGGAAAGUUCACACUGUGACGGUAUCUUAUCAGAAAGGGACGGCUAACUACGUG